rnacentral:lncRNA from 1 species
CACCCAUCAAUCCUAUAGCUCCUUUUUUAAAUAGACUUAGAUCCAACAGACACUCAGCCCAUAUGGAACAAAUCUUAAAGAUGUUUAAAUAAGUGAAAGUAAAUAUCCUUCUAUUAGACAUGAUUCAAUAAGUUUUCACAUACGCCAAUUUCUCAAAAACCUAUACACAAAGAAGCAGACCAUCAAUAUUCUCAAAAAAGCCUUCUUGGCGGCC